rnacentral:rRNA from 1 species
GACGAACGCUGGCGGCGUGCUUAACACAUGCAAGUCGAACGGAAAGGCCCUGCUUUUGUGGGGUGCUCGAGUGGCGAACGGGUGAGUAACACGUGAGCAACCUGCCCUUGACUUUGGGAUAACUUCAGGAAACUGGGGCUAAUACCGGAUAGGAGCUCCUGCUGCAUGGUGGGGGUUGGAAAGUUUCGGCGGUUGGGGAUGGACUCGCGGCUUAUCAGCUUGUUGGUGGGGUAGUGGCUUACCAAGGCUUUGACGGGUAGCCGGCCUGAGAGGGUGGCCGGCCACAUUGGGACUGAGAUACGGCCCAGACUCCUACGGGAGGCAGCAGUGGGGAAUAUUGCACAAUGGGCGGAAGCCUGAUGCAGCAACGCCGCGUGCGGGAUGACGGCCUUCGGGUUGUAAACCGCUUUCGCCUGUGACGAAGCGUGAGUGACGGUAAUGGGUAAAGAAGCACCGGCUAACUACGUGCCAGCAGCCGCGGUGAUACGUAGGGUGCGAGCGUUGUCCGGAUUUAUUGGGCGUAAAGGGCUCGUAGGUGGUUGAUCGCGUCGGAAGUGUAAUCUUGGGGCUUAACCCUGAGCGUGCUUUCGAUACGGGUUGACUUGAGGAAGGUAGGGGAGAAUGGAAUUCCUGGUGGAGCGGUGGAAUGCGCAGAUAUCAGGAGGAACACCAGUGGCGAAGGCGGUUCUCUGGGCCUUUCCUGACGCUGAGGAGCGAAAGCGUGGGGAGCGAACAGGCUUAGAUACCCUGGUAGUCCACGCUGUAAACGGUGGGUACUAGGUGUGGGGUCCAUUCCACGGGUUCCGUGCCGUAGCUAACGCUUUAAGUACCCCGCCUGGGGAGUACGGCCGCAAGGCUAAAACUCAAAGGAAUUGACGGGGCCCCGCACAAGCGGCGGAGCAUGCGGAUUAAUUCGAUGCAACGCGUAGAACCUUACCUGGGUUUGACAUGGAUCGGGAGUGCUCAGAGAUGGGUGUGCCUCUUUUGGGGUCGGUUCACAGGUGGUGCAUGGCUGUCGUCAGCUCGUGUCGUGAGAUGUUGGGUUAAGUCCCGCAACGAGCGCAACCCUUGUUCACUGUUGCCAGCACGUUAUGGUGGGGACUCAGUGGAGACCGCCGGGGUCAACUCGGAGGAAGGUGGGGAUGACGUCAAGUCAUCAUGCCCCUUAUGUCCAGGGCUUCACGCAUGCUACAAUGGCUGGUACAGAGAGUGGCGAGCCUGUGAGGGUGAGCGAAUCUCGGAAAGCCGGUCUCAGUUCGGAUUGGGGUCUGCAACUCGACCUCAUGAAGUCGGAGUCGCUAGUAAUCGCAGAUCAGCAACGCUGCGGUGAAUAAGUUCCCGGG